UACAGAGGUCCCAAGCGUUGUUCGGAUUCACUGGGCGUAAAGGGUGCGUAGGUGGUGGGGUAAGUCGGAUGUGAAAUCUCCGAGCUCAACUCGGAAAUGGCAUUGGAAACUACCCUGCUUGAGGGUCGGAGGGGGGACUGGAAUGCUUGGUGUAGCAGUGAAAUGCGUAGAUAUCAAGCGGAACACCAGUGGCGAAGGCGACUACCUGGCCUGUUCUUGACGCUGAGGCGCGAAAGCUAGGGGAGCAAACGGG
rnacentral:rRNA from 1 species